GAGGUGUUAGUCCAAAAAAGACAGCUGAUUUCGACUCAACUAAUUAUGGCUAAAUCCCAUAACACCCCU
rnacentral:tRNA from 1 species